UNCAAGCAAGCACCCACCUUUCAGGAUGCA
rnacentral:piRNA from 1 species